rnacentral:rRNA from 1 species
GACGGAGGGUGCUAGCGUUGUUCGGAAUUACUGGGCGUAAAGAGCGCGCAGGCGGUCGAUCAAGUCGAGUGUGAAAGCCCCCGGCUCAACUGGGGAGGGUCAUUCGAUACUGAUCGACUCGAAGGCAGGAGAGGGUAGUGGAAUUCCCGGUGUAGUGGUGAAAUGCGCAGAUAUCGGGAGGAACACCAGUAGCGAAGGCGGCUCGCUGGGCCAUUCCUGACGCUGAGACGCGAAAGCUAGGGGAGCGAACAGG